rnacentral:tRNA from 1 species
GGAGGGGUGCGAGAGCGGUUGAAUCGGGCGGUCUCGAAAACCGUUGAGGGCGCAAGCCCUCCGUGGGUUCGAAUCCCACCCCCUCCGCCA